AAAUAUGAGAGUUUGAUCCUGGCUCAGGAUGAACGCUGGCGGCGUGCUUAACACAUGCAAGUCGAACGAAAAAUUAUCGCUGAAGCGAGCUUGCUCAAUUCUUGAUAUUUUUUAGUGGCGGACGGGUGAGUAACGCGUGGGUAACCUGCCUUACACAGGGGGACAACAGUUGGAAACGACUGCUAAUACCGCAUAAGCGCACAGUUUCGCAUGAAACAGUGUGAAAAACUCCGGUGGUGUAAGAUGGACCCGCGUCUGAUUAGCUAGUUGGUGAGGUAACGGCCCACCAAGGCGACGAUCAGUAGCCGGCCUGAGAGGGUGAACGGCCACAUUGGGACUGAGACACGGCCCAAACUCCUACGGGAGGCAGCAGUGGGGAAUAUUGCA
rnacentral:rRNA from 1 species